rnacentral:tmRNA from 1 species
GGGGAUGAUCGGUUUCGACGAUGUGGGUUGAGACAGGGGAAGCGUGCCGAGGAUGCAGAGUUAUCUCGUAAACGCUCUCUGCAAAACAAUAAGUGCAGAAUCUAAGCGCACUGACUUCGCUCUCGCUGCCUAAGCGCGACUAGCGAAUCUGCUGGCCUGAGCUUGCCUUUAGCUCAGCUCCCAGUAUCAGUUUAAAAGGCCACUGCUUCUUGCCCUCGUCGUAGGGGUAAGAGGAACACUUAUACGAAUAGGUUUGGCAGCAUCUGUGUUUGUGCAAAUGCUGGAGCCGAAAAGUACCGUUACGCAAACUGCGCACGGAGAAGACCUGACGAUGUCACAUCGGACCGGGGUUCGAUUCCCCGCAUCUCCACCA